rnacentral:misc_RNA from 1 species
GAUGAAGAACCGUAGCGAAAUGCGAUAAGUAAUGUGAAUUGCAGAAUUCAGUGAAUCAUCGAAUCUUUGAACGCACCUUGCGCUCCUUGGUAUUCCGAGGAGCAUGCCUGUUUGAGUGUCAUUAAAUUCUCAACCUUAUUGGCUUUUGCUGAUAAUGGCUUGGACUUGGGGGUCUUUUUGCUGGCUUUCAUUAGUCUGCUCCCCUUAAAUGUAUUAGCCGGUGCCCCGCAGUGGAACCGUCUAUUGGUGUGAUAAUUAUCUACGCCGUGGACGUCUGCUAUAAUGGGUUUGCGCUGCUUCUAACCGUCUCUCGGGACAACACAAAUGACAAUUUGACCUCAAAUCAGGUAGGACUACCCGCUGAACUUAAGCAUAUCAAUAAGCGGAGGA